rnacentral:rRNA from 1 species
CCUACGGGAGGCAGCAGUUGGGAAUAUUGCACAAUGAGUGAAACCCUGAUGCAGCGACGCCGCGUGAACGAGGCAGUAUUUCGGUAUGUAAAGCUCUAUCAGCAGGGACGAAAACAGACGGUACCUGACUAAGAAGCCCCGGCUAACUACGUGCCAGCAGCCGCGUUAAUACGUCGGGGGCCAGCGUUGUCCGGAUUUACUGGGGGUAAAGGGUGCGUAGACGGCAAGGCAAGCCAGAAGGGAAAGGGCAGGGCUCAACCCUGGAAAUGCUUUUGGAACUGUGGUGCUAGAGUUCAGGAGAGGUAAGCGGAAUUCCUAGUGUAGCGGUGAAAUGCGUAGAUAUUAGGAAGAACACCAGUGGCGAAGGCGGCUUACUGGACUGUAACUGACGCUGAUGCACGAAAGUGUGGGGAGCGAACAGGAUUAGAUACCCGAGUAGUC